UACGGAGGGGGCUAGCGUUGUUCGGAAUUACUGGGCGUAAAGCGCACGUAGGCGGCUUUGCAAGUCAGAGGUGAAAGCCCGGGGCUCAACCCCGGAAUUGCCUUUGAGACUGCAUCGCUAGAAUUGUGGAGAGGUAAGUGGAAUUCCGAGUGUAGAGGUGAAAUUCGUAGAUAUUCGGAAGAACACCAGUGGCGAAGGCGACUUACUGGACACAUACUGACGCUGAGGUGCGAAAGCGUGGUGAGCAAACAGG
rnacentral:rRNA from 1 species